rnacentral:lncRNA from 1 species
AUGCCUUUUUUUACAUUCAGCUUAGAGAAAAAACAGUUGAGGAGACAGUACAAACUGGACGUCAGCCCCAGCAGGAAGCAGCAGCCUGAUCCAAGCAGAGGGCAGCCUGAGCUGGAGGACACGAGCAAAUGGAAAAGAGACAGCAGAGGAUCCACGCAUCCACUCAACAGACCCUUCUCCAUCCCAUUAGACCCUAAAACACGCAUCAACUCACCCACCAGCCCCCUUCAUCCCUACGCAGAUAUCCAGGGAACGACGAGGAAAGAUGAGAGGCUGAAGGAAAGAGUUAAUGUAGUGGUUCCUACAGAUGAGACGAGCCUCGAAGUACGGCGAAGAAGAGAAAAGAGAGAUGAUUUUUUUCGUAAAGGGAAGUCUAUGUCUGCUGAUGAACUGUCGAAGACCAGCUCUUCUGGCUCUGAAAGCUCACCUUCUGCCACUGAGACAGGUGCAGAAACUGAUAGUUCAUGUUUGAGCCUACCCACCAGAGCCACCUAUGACAAUGCAGGUCAACACGGCUCUAACCAGUCACAUCCCACUACUCCUGAACGGUAUAGAGUAAAGUAUAAUGGUGUAUACGAUAUUGUUAUUUUUCUUUUCUCGCUAUAA